rnacentral:lncRNA from 1 species
UUACAUAUCAUAACAUAACAGUGUCCAACUGUGCCAGAACGUGGAAUGGGUCCUGAUCUUUCCCUUACAUGGUGCCAGCGAACGUAGAAUGGGUCCCACUGGUCUUACAUUCCAUACCGUACAUAUCACAUCGUCAUAUCAUAGAUCGAGGGCUAUGGAUCAUUCAACAUUCAUCCACAUCAACAUUUAACAUAUGCAAUGCAACAUAUUCGUGAAUUCUAAUGCAAGCAACCUAAUUCAUCACAUGGCAUUCAUGAUGCAUGAAGCAUGCUAAAAAGUACAUUAUUUGU